rfam:Euryarchaeota archaeon RBG_16_67_27 RBG_16_scaffold_176009, whole genome shotgun sequence.
GCGGGGAUCGCCUAGCCUGGUAGGGCGCUGGAUUGCUAAUCCAGUGCGCUCUGCGCCCGGGGGUUCAAAUCCCCCUCCCCGCG